rnacentral:pre_miRNA from 1 species
AAUCUACUCCCUCCGUUUCAAAUUACUUGUCACAGAAAUGGAUGUAUCUAGAACUAAAAUACAUCUAGAUACAUCCAUACCUACGACAAGUAAUUCGGAACGGAGGAAGUAGACU